UCCGACGUUACAAUGGUGGAGUUGGC
rnacentral:piRNA from 1 species